GCUUCGUUUUGUUCGCUUUGUCAAGGAGGACAUUGCCCAAAGUCCCCAGGAAGUUUCUGUCUUCUCGAGGGCUGAAGUCCCGCUCCCGUGACUGCAUCUCCCCCCCACCCCAUGGCUGUCCCCACACAGUGGCACAGCCACACAGAUGGCCCAGAUGUGGGCCUAACAGAACAAGAGGAAGGAAGUUUGGGCAUCUGUUUAUGAGAGAGAAUUGCCAGCUCUGUGUCGAAAUCUUGCACGUGGCAAAUAAAUGAUGGGCAAAUGCUACUUGCAGAGUCAGAGGCGUAUUUCAGACCUGAACAUCCUGGCCACCCCCCUGAACCGCUCCAACUGAGGACUCCUAACUCGUGAUCCUGACACGGGGCUGACUCCCUCAUUCCUUCACUCUGCCCGUACUCAAGCGUCUCCUGCUUUAUUUUUCUGCUGGGCAGAGCUGUGUCCUGGCUCCUGAGAUAGUGAUGUGCUUCGUCGUGUCCGUGUGCCCUCUGGGAUGGAAGACCUUCUAGAGAAGGGCCUGGGCUGAUAUGGUCACCGUGUCCCUUAACAAUCAGGAAAUCUUCAUCAGAUGGGCAAGUCAGUCUGUCAGUUGAACUCUUCUGAAUUUGGACUAUUUUCUUCUGGCCAAGACACAAGUAGAGGGGCUUUGGGGAGGAUACAGAGUGGAAAAGCCCAGAAGCCCUUCCUAGUGAGCUCGCCAUGCGGCCUACACAGUGAGAUCAGCCUGCAGGCCUUCAUUCCCUGUAUGGAGCUGGAUGCUGGGCACGUGGUGUGAAGGCCAGACCUGGCCCCUGCUGUCCUGGGGGCCUCUCCUUUGCUUGCUGUGGAGGGCUGACAAAUUCUGUGUGUGUGUAUAGAGUGUGCCUGUGUGCAUCAGGGCACAGACAACAGACAAGUAAAUGCAUAAAGGAAAAGAUGGUUGCAGGUUGUGACAAGGUCCACAAAGGAAAUGAAUGGUGAUGGAGAAGUCACAGCAGAAGGGGUUCUUCAUUACGCGAUUUCUUUCCCGAUCAGGCAUCAUCACGGAAGGAUCCUGCUGUCCACGGUGUGUUAGGAAGGCUACGACACAUUCAAGUGCCUGUGCAUGUGUGAAUACCACGACGAUCAGCAUUCAAGCCGGAAUUUCCCUUCUGCAAUGAACACGUGUAGCUAACAUGCAACUGGUCGGUGUCUGUCGGCACACAGGAGGACAAUCCUGGCUGGGGCAGGAGCCCUCUUUUAACUUCCAUGGAUGUCGUGAUUGUGGGGAUGAGGCAGAGGGUUGGAUUGAAUCAUACAUAUUUAGUGACGUUGCUAAAGUGGGAACCGAAGCAGAAAAACUGUCUAAGUCUGAAGUCCGCUAGCGAGUCCAGCACCCAUGAUUUUUAAUCCUUGUAUAGAUUCCUUAAAGAAAUGCUCCUCAUCAAGGCUCUGGGUGAAUGUGCAGAGGACGAGGGAGUGUGGAAAAACCCAGACACUGAUGAGUCUGAGUUGAAAAAUGAUUCAGGAGAGUUGAACUCAGUAGAAAGAAGUUUGAGGGAUAACAACCAAUUUAUUUCAUUUGUAUUUUCAUUUUUAUGUAUGCACAAUAGUAAUAAUUUUAUGU